rnacentral:rRNA from 1 species
AAAUUUAUUAAUUUUAAUAAUUUUAAAUUAAUAAAAUAAUUAUUAAAAUAAUAAUUUUUUUUAGAAAUUUAAAUUUUAUUUAAAAUUUAAUUAUUUAUAAUGAUAUAUAUAUAUAAUAGAUAUAUAUAUAAUAUAUAUAUUAUAAAUAAAAAUUAAUAAAUAAUAUUAAUAUAAAAUUUUAAUAAUUUAAUAAUAAUAUAAUUAUAAAUAUAAUUAAAUUAUUUAAAAAAUUUAUUAGCAUCUGCGGUUAUACAAUAAUAAAUUAGAUUAAAUUUAUUAAUUUUAAUAAUUUUAAAUUAAUAAAAUAAAAUAAAAAUAAAUUUUAUGGUUAAAUAAUAAAUUUAUAAUUUUAAUAAAUUAAUUAUAUAUAUAUAUAAUUAUUUAAAUUAUUAAACUAGGAUUAGAUACCCUAUUAUUAUAAAAAUAAAUAAUUAAAUUUAAAUAGUAAAUGAUAAAUUCAUGAAAUUUAAAAAUUUUGACGGUAUUUUAAUUUUUUUAGAGGAAUUUGUUCUAUAAUUGAUAAUUCACAAUAAGAAUAACUUAUUUUUGUUUAUAAUAUAAAUUAUAUUAAUUUAUAUAUCGCCGUUAAAAUAAUUUUAUCUAAAAAAUUUUUUUAAUUUUUUAUUAAAAAAAAAUCAGGUCAAGGUGUAGUAGAUAAAUAAGAAAGAAAUGAAUUACAAUAAAUUAAAUUUUUGGAUUUUAAUUUUUAAUUUUUAAAUAAAAAUGGAUUUAAAUGUAAAUUAAAUAAAUUAAUUAAAUUGAUAAUAAA